rnacentral:rRNA from 1 species
GCCUACGGCCAUUCCACCCUGAAAGCGCCCGAUCUCGUCUGAUCUCGGAAGCUAAGCAGGGACGGGCUUGGUUAGUACCUGGAUGGGAGACCGCCUGGGAAUACCAGGUGUUGUAGGCU